rnacentral:tRNA from 1 species
GGGAGCGGAUGGGUCCUGGUGGGCUUCGCGGGCUUCAAACCCGUUGGUGGGUGCCCUUCGGCAUCCACGGUAGGUUCGACUCCUACCCGCUCCCG